rnacentral:rRNA from 1 species
GAUGAACGCUGGCGGCGUGCCUAAUACAUGCAAGUAGAACGCUGAAGGAAGGAGCUUGCUCUUUCCGGAUGAGUUGCGAACGGGUGAGUAACGCGUAGGUAACCUGCCUGGUAGCGGGGGAUAACUAUUGGAAACGAUAGCUAAUACCGCAUAACAGUAGAUGUUGCAUGAUAUCUACUUAAAAGGUGCAAUUGCACCACUACCAGAUGGACCUGCGUUGUAUUAGCUAGUUGGUGAGGUAACGGCUCACCAAGGCGACGAGACAUAGCCGACCUGAGAGGGUGAUCAGCCGCACUGGGACUGAGACACGGCCCAGAGUGCUACGGGAGGCAGCAGUAGGGAAUCUUCGGCAAUGGACGGAAGUCUGACCGAGCAACGCCGCGUGAGUGAAGAAGGUUUUCGGAUCGUAAAGCUCUGUUGUAAGAGAAGAACGAGUGUGAGAGUGGAAAGUUCACACUGUGACGGUAUCUUACCAGAAAGGGACGGCUAACUACGUG